ACGGGAGGCAGCAGUGGGGAAUAUUGGGCAAUGGACGCAAGUCUGACCCAGCAACGCCGCGUGAAGGGAGAAGGCUUUCGGGUUGUAAACUUCUUUUGUCAGGGAAGAGUAGAAGACGGUACCUGACGAAUAAGCCACGGCUAACUACGUGCCAGCAGCCGCGGUAAUACGUAGGUGGCAAGCGUUAUCCGGAUUUACUGGGUGUAAAGGGCGUGUAGGCGGGACAUCAAGUCAGAUGUGAAAGCACGAGGCUCAACUUCGUGUCUGCAUUUGAAACUGACGUUCUUGAGUGUUGGAGAGGCUAACGGAACUCCUAGUGUAGCGGUGAAAUGCGUAGAUAUUAGGAAGAACACCAGUGGCGAAGGCGGUUAGCUGGACAAUAACUGACGCUGAGGCGCGAAAGCGUGGGUAGCAAACAGGAUUAGAUACCCUGGUA
rnacentral:rRNA from 1 species